UGAAUUGACGGGGCCGCACAAGCGGAGGACAUGUGGUUUAAUUCGAUGAUACGCGAGGAACCUUACCUGGGCUUAAAUGUAGAGUGCAUUUUUUAGAGAUAGAAAUUCCCUUCGGGGCUUUCUGCAAGGUGCUGCAUGGUUGUCGUCAGCUCGUGCCGUGAGGUGUCGGGUUAAGUCCCAUAACGAGCGCAACCCUUAUCGUUAGUUGCCAGCUGGUAAAGCAGGGGACUCUAGCGAAACUGCACCGUAAGGUGAGAGGAAGGUGGGGAUGACGUCAAAUCAGCACGGCCCUUAUGUCCAGGGCUACACACGUGUUACAAUGGCCGGCACAGAGGGCAGCUACCUGGUGACAGGAUGCUAAUCUCGAAAACCGGUCUCAGUUCGGAUCGAAGUCUGCAACUCGACUUCGUGAAGCUGGAUUCGCUAGUAAUCGUGGAUCAGCCAAGCCGCGGUGAAUACGUUCCCGGGCCUU
rnacentral:rRNA from 1 species